AGCAGCCGCGGUAAUUCCAGCUCCAAUAGCGUAUAUUAAAGUUGUUGCAGUUAAAAAGCUCGUAGUUGAAUUUCGGGAUUAAUAUGUUGGUCGUGCCUUGGUACGUACUGGCAUUAUUGAUUCCUACCUUCCGAAGAACCUCGAUGUCAUUAAUUUGGUGUCUUGGGGAAUCAGGACUGUUACUUUGAAAAAUUAGAGUGUUUAAAGCAGGCUCGCGCUUGAAUACAUUAGCAUGGAAUAAUGAAAUAGGACGUUUGAUUCUAUUUUGUUGGUUUCUAGGAUCGACGUAAUGAUUAAUAGGGAUAGUUGGGGGCAUUAGUAUUCAAUUGUCAGAGGUGAGAUUCUUGGAUUUAUUGAAGACUGACUACUGCGAAAGCAUUUGCCAAGGAUGUUUUCAUU
rnacentral:rRNA from 1 species